rnacentral:rRNA from 1 species
GACCUGGUGGUCAUGGCGAGGGGCCCGCACCCGAUCCCAUUCCGAACUCGGCCGUGAAAACCCUCCGCGCCAAUGGUACUGCGUCUUAAGGCGUGGGAGAGUAGGUCGCCGCCAGGUC